UACAGAGGGUGCGAGCGUUAAUCGGAAUUACUGGGCGUAAAGCGUGCGUAGACGGCUAUCUAAGUCGGGUGUGAAAGCCCCGGGCUCAACCUGGGAAUUGCAUUCGAGACUGAAUAGCUAGGGUGCGGUAGAGGGAAGCGGAAUUUCCGGUGUAGCGGUGAAAUGCGUAGAUAUCGGAAGGAACAUCAGUGGCGAAAGCGGGUCUCUGGACAGUUCCUGACGCUGAGGCACGAAGGCUAGGGGAGCAAACGGG
rnacentral:rRNA from 1 species